UACGUAGGGUGCAAGCGUUGUCCGGAAUUAUUGGGCGUAAAGAGCUCGUAGGCGGUCUGUCGCGUCUGCUGUGAAAACUCGGGGCUUAACCCCGGGCCUGCAGUGGGUACGGGCAGACUAGAGUGCGGUAGGGGAGACUGGAAUUCCUGGUGUAGCGGUGAAAUGCGCAGAUAUCAGGAGGAACACCGGUGGCGAAGGCGGCUCACUGGCUCGUAUCUGACGCUCAGGCGCGACAGCGUGGGGAUCAAACAGG
rnacentral:rRNA from 1 species